rnacentral:rRNA from 1 species
CAGCCGUAAACAAUGUGCGUUAGGUGUGUCGGUAACCACGCGUUACUGAUGCGCCGAAGAGAAAUCGUGAAACGCACCACCCGGGAAGUACGGUCGCAAGGCUGAAACUUAAAGGAAUUGGCGGGGGAGCACCACAACAGGUGGAGCCUGCGGUUUAAUUGGAUUCAACGCCGGACAUCUCACCGGAUAAGACAGCUGAAUGAUUGUCAAUCUGAAGGUUUUACAUGACUAGCUGAGAGGUGGUGCAUGGCGUCAGUGACUGU